UACGUAGGGGGGCAAGCGUUGUCCGGAUUUAUUGGGCGUAAAGAGCGUGUAGGCGGCCUUACAGGUCAGCUGUGAAAACUCGAGGCUCAACCUCGAGACGUCGGUUGAAACCGUAUGGCUAGAGUCCGGAAGAGGAGAGUGGAAUUCCCGGUGUAGCGGUGAAAUGCGCAGAUAUCAGGAAGAACACCCGUGGCGAAGGCGGCUCUCUGGAACGCAACUGACGCUGAGACGCGAAAGCGUGGGGAGCAAACAGG
rnacentral:rRNA from 1 species